AUUCCGGUAUUCAUGGGAUCUUCCGGACGUUCAAUGUUUUGGUUCGAAUGUUGUAUAUUUGGGUUUUGAGCUUGAUUUGGGAAGUAAUUUGGAAAGAAGUUGUAGUUUUGUGAAGGAUCCAUGAAAGAGUUUGAAGAUUUCAAAAGAAAGGUGAUACAAACAAGGAUGAUAAUAUGGUAGAAAAUUU